rnacentral:rRNA from 1 species
UACGUAGGUGGCAAGCGUUGUCCGGAAUUAUUGGGCGUAAAGCGCGCGCAGGUGGUUUCUUAAGUCUGAUGUGAAAGCCCACGGCUCAACCGUGGAGGGUCAUUGGAAACUGGGGAACUUGAGUGCAGGAGAGAAGAGUGGAAUUCCACGUGGUAGCGGUGAAAUGCGUAGAGAUGUGGAGGAACAGCCAGUGGCGAAGG